CCAGGACCCUGGGAUCAUGACCUGAGCUAAAGGCAGAGGCUUUAACCCACUGAGCCACCCAGAAGAUUGAUGAUAAGCUAGUAAUCUGCAUAAAAUUUUUAUUUAUAUUACCAUCUACCACUGGGGCCAGAGUGAUAACAUGGACCAUGUGAAACUUAGGGACAAACUUUCUAAAGAAGCAGUAUCAUCUACUCUGAAGAUAUUAGUUAUUUUUUAAAAAGUGUUCCAGAAAAUAAUUAAAGAUAUGCAGUUGCAGAAGUUAUAUUUACAUAUCAUUCUGUGAAAAAUUAGUUUUAGUUUAUUUAAAUAGCCUCCAUGCCCAACAUGGGGCUUGAACUCAUGACCUGAGAUCAAGAGUCACAUGCUCUACUGACUGAGCCAGACAGGCACCCCUAGUUUUCAUUUAGAACAGAGUUCUUUUAAAUUAAUUUUGCUCAUUUUCAGUUCCAAGUUUUGUACCCAUAUAAAAAGUGGAGUGGCAGCUAUUCUUAUGCUGGCUCUGUUAGCAGAAAACUUUGAAAAUAGGUACAAGAUGCCAGUUUUAUAUCUGUAUUAUAUGAAUUUGAAUGAUUACCUAUUGUAUAAGAAUAAUGUCCAUACUAAAAUAAGAAACCUAUAGAGCAGAGUAUUCUUGGAA